UGAAAAGUUGUCGGUGCUUCCUGCCUGAGA
rnacentral:piRNA from 1 species